CCUACGGGUGACAGCAGUGGGGAAUAUUGUACAAUGGGGGAAACCCUGAUGCAGCGACGCCGCGUGAGUGAAGAAGUAUUUCGGUACGUAAAGCUCUAUCAGCAGGGAAGAAAAUGACGGUACCUGACCAAGAAGCCCCGGCUAACUACGUGCCAGCAGCCGCGGUAAUACGUAGGGGGCAAGCGUUAUCCGGAUUUAAUGGGUGUAAAGGGAGCGUAGACGGCCAGACAAGUCAGAAGUGAAAGCCCAGGGCUCAACCCGGGGACUGCUUUUGAAACUGCCGGGCUGGAGUGCAGGAGAGGUAAGCGGAAUUCCUAGUGUAGCGGUGAAAUGCGUAGAUAUUAGGAGGAACACCAGUGGCGAAGGCGGCUUACUGGACUGUAACUGACGUUGAGGCUCGAAAGCGUGGGGAGCAAACAGGAUUAGAUACCCGGGUAGUC
rnacentral:rRNA from 1 species